AACGGCUCACCAAGGCGACGAUCCCUAGCUGGUCUGAGAGGAUGACCAGCCACACUGGAACUGAGACACGGUCCAGACUCCUACGGGAGGCAGCAGUGGGGAAUAUUGCACAAUGGGCGCAAGCCUGAUGCAGCCAUGCCGCGUGUAUGAAGAAGGCCUUCGGGUUGUAAAGUACUUUCAGCGGGGAGGAAGGGAGUAAAGUUAAUACCUUUGCUCAUUGACGUUACCCGCAGAAGAAGCACCGGCUAACUCCGUGCCAGCAGCCGCGGUAAUACGGAGGGUGCAAGCGUUAAUCGGAAUUACUGGGCGUAAAGCGCACGCAGGCGGUUUGUUAAGUCAGAUGUGAAAUCCCCGGGCUCAACCUGGGAACUGCAUCUGAUACUGGCAAGCUUGAGUCUCGUAGAGGGGGGUAGAAUUCCAGGUGUAGCGGUGAAAUGCGUAGAGAUCUGGAGGAAUACCGGUGGCGAAGGCGGCCCCCUGGACGAAGACUGACGCUCAGGUGCGAAAGCGUGGGGAGCAAACAGGAUUAGAUACC
rnacentral:rRNA from 1 species